rnacentral:lncRNA from 1 species
UUUAAUUGGUGGACGGAGGGAGUAUUAUACUAAAGGAAAGUUGUCAUUCACAACUUUUCCCGCCUAAACUACCAUCUAUUUUUAUUUUUUUUAUUUUUUUUCAAAAAAAGUUGUCCAAUUUAAUUGUCCUUUCCGAUUCCCAAUAAUUGUGUAAUUUCUUGAAUCUUUUCAUAUUCUCUAUUAACUUAUUUAAUUUGAUGAUAUUCAUCUCUCUUUCUUUAACUCUCUCUCCUAAAUCUUGCUACUGUUCCUCUCUCUCUCUCUCAGAUUUAUCUGACUACUCCCUCAUCUCUUUCAAUUCAUCUUUCCUUUCAAAUUCCAUCACUUUCUUCCUCCAUUUUUCC